UCAGUCUGGAGGUGCGGACGUCGCGUCGGAAGGAGCUUCCCUGCGAAAGGGGCCGUCCGACGCGUCCGAUCCGCGUCGCCAGACGCAUUUGUCUCCCGCUCGAAGGACGCCGCAGCCGGUCGGGCAGCGCAAGCGCGACGGCCUGGAGGGCGGACGACGGCAGGUGGCCGGUGGCGCGCCUCGUGCGCGUCGCCGGUUGUUAGCCGGUCCGCCAGUGGCCCGUCGCUCGACCGAGGUGUCACGAGGCCCUUCGGGGCUCCAACGUCUGCUCCCCUGCGGAAGUCGGGACAGGACGUCGCAAGCGAAGGACGCCGUCCCGCCGCACUCCCUCGGAGUGGGCGGGCGAACGUUCGGCGCCGAUGGCGACGACGGACCCGUCGCAGACUGGAGGCUGGCGGCGAGUAGGUCGGUCACCCACCCGACCCGUCUUGAAACACGGACCAAGGAGUCUAACAUGUGCGCGAGUCAAUGGGUCUUGAACAGGCCCAGGGGCGCAAUGAAAGCAAAGGUCGGCCCGCGUCGACCGAGUUGGGAUCCCGUCCCCUCCGGGGGGCGGGCGCACCAACGACCCGUCCUAUGCGGCUCGCCGCUUGGGCGGAGUGUGAGCGUACACGUUGGGACCCGAAAGAUGGUGAACUAUGCCCGGACAGGACGAGGNCAGAGGAAACUC
rnacentral:rRNA from 1 species